GGUUAUAGAAAAUGAACAUUAUGGUUUAACCUUAGAUACCAAUAUCCCAUACGAAAGUAGCCAUUUUUUAUCACAAUAGUGUCGGCGACAGGGAAAGCAGAUGUUUUUCGUUGUACAAGUUCUGCGGGUGAAAGGCGAAAAACGGAUAAAAAAAAUAGCAACUCGGCGCCAUAUCGAGCUGGUCCGAGCGGAUGAUGAUAUUUACAAGCAAAGCUCUGCAAUUAAGUAUUCAAGUGAAAUUCAAACACGCGCUGGUUUUGCAUUCAUUUAUGUACAUUCACUGCCAAUCUUCGAUUUACCCUCAAAACUGAGUUUAUAAAUUUCAUUAAUAUAUGACGGUGGAAAUAUGAAUAAGGUAUGGUAUACUUAUAUGAAACAUUAAAAAAAGAAUCUGACAUAUUCUCAGACAUAAAUGACAAACUGACGUCGUAUACUAGUUAGUCUCAAACAGUGAAUAUGAGAAAUAUAUAUUAUAGGAAGGUGAAAGUUCAGAUCAGUUUUGUACGAAAUUGAAAAAGAUGUCCUCAAACUGUGAAGUUGGAGAAAACCGUGAUUCUGAGAAUAAAAGUUAAAUUAUACAAGAUUGUCUAUAUUCAGAACUGUUCAAAUAUAUUUACCGUCAAAUCGUUGCCGCCAUCGACUACAAUAAAUAUAUAAGAUGCUCGAUAUGCCAUGAAAGUUCGUGCAAGAGACUUUAAAAAUAUCUGCAGACAGUACACGGAUUAAAAACAGAAGAGCUGAAAGAUGUAAAAUGUAAUAUGAUACAUGAGUCCAUAUAUUACAAGAUUCUGCAGAAGUACGAAGACGAUCUGCAGAAAGGUCUUUUUAACCUUAAAGCCAAAAUGACGAAAGAAGUCGAAUAUGCAGUUAAUGAACUGAAAGUGUACUUCGAGGGUUUACUGCCGGUAAAUUUACACCAGAUACUUGAGAUUGGAAAGACAAAAUUGGCUUCCAUGAGGUACCGCCAUUUGGUAGCCUUUAACAUUUUUGAAAAUACGCAAAGUUUAUUGGCCAUUCAGUAUCUGGUGUAAACUGGCAGCAGAUUCUAGAAGGGAUCGAUUUGGUCUCGACGUUUGCCAAUAGGCGGAGGAAACAAAAAAAAUCUUCGAAGAAUGCCACCGAGAGAAGGAUGUUGAACAAAGUGUCGGAUGGAUUCAUAAAUAUUUUUCUGAACAUACGACCGUGAUAUAAAAGACAUUUACGACGAUCGUGUCGCAGGGGAGACUUUUAAUAGGUGCUUGGGGGGUUGUUUGCGGCUCGCUACCUUAUCACGCGAGGCGGUAGUCUUCGUUACUCCACCUCCAUGAGGGUUGGCGGGCUAAACGACCCCUCGCACCUAAAAGACAAUGACACCUAUCAGAUCAAAAUUGAAGAUGGCAGCAAUGUUUCAUCCUGUGAAGGAUAGGACAAAAAGCGACCGAGCCCUUGACCCAUUGAAGCAAUCAAUAUUGGUCGACAAAAUUGACCGAUCAACCCUAAAUCAGUAAAUUCGGAUAAAAUGCCAUCGUACUGGCCUCGUCAUUGGCAUCGGACAUGUCCGAAAAGAAACAAAGGGAUGUGACGCGGGCCAUGGGCCACUCCUCAUAUAUAUAUAUCAAGCAAUAAAUACAAGAAACUUCUAACAGCCACAUCAUGUGUCCCACUUACUCGUAUCUCCGAAACAAUCCAAGAAUCCACCUUUGAUAUCCCUUACACAUUCCUAGCUCAUCUAAAAAAAUGAAAAACAUCACAAUCCCCAAAACACCCCCAAAAAGCAAAAUCUCUACAGAUUUUGAAUCCCCGAGGAGCAAAGCGGUAAGAGCAACAGUGCUUCGAAAAAAAAAUAUUUCAGAGAUAAAUAGGUUGUGGUUGUAUUACCACGAGGGCGUAAAGGGUUUCCUUGAGGGCAAAGACGCUAUGAAUAGAACUCAAUUACGCGAGAUUGUCAAAAACGAAAUAAAAAUUUGAGCUAAACAUGAUAUAAAUGGCCUAAAAAAGAAAAUGAAUUUUAAUGAUAAAGAUUAGAAACUUUUUUAAUGACAAAGAUUAAAUUUUACUUUUUCGAGGCACUGUGGCUCUUUACACUUUUUGUAAUUUUCCUUACACAUCGUCAUAUUCAAUGUAAAUACA